CGAGUGUGCGUUGCGCGUGUGUGUGUGUGUGUGUAUCGUGUGUGAAGUAAUAGCUGAUCGUAGUGUUGGUGCGCUUGGGAAUAGUGCGUGCAGUUGACGCGUGUGUCGCGCGAGUAUAGAAGAGCGAGAAGCACGGCGAAUGGGUGUGAUCUCUCGCUCGUCGGAAGGAAGUGAAUGUUCUAAUCCCAUUUGGCAAAGCGAAUAGGCAAGAUAGCAGAAGUGAGACACAGAGCGAACGAGAGAGGCAGAUAGCAAGCAUCCGUCGCCGCGUUUGUGUGGCAGCCAGAAGCAGCAGCAGCAGCAGCAGCAGACAUCGAAACACGCUCGAAGGGGGGUGAGAAAAGUUGUGUUCUGUCAGCUUGAGCAUUCUUCGCUGCCAUCACACACAUUUGUUCCGUGCGUUCGGCGCUGGCAGUACCCCGUGUCCCGUGUGUUUGUGUCCCGGUCAUCGGUCGGUGUCCGUCCGUCCUGCGUGUGUGCAAAGUGCAAAAACCGCCCCAAAAACAGUGAAAUAGUGUGCCACCGAACUGAAGCGGUGCGAAUUAGUGGUGAAGUGUUUUCCCUUUUCCCGUGUGGCCCACCACGAAAGAACACGCGCGUGUCGUCUUCUAAACACCGUCGUCGUGUCGCUCUCUCUCACACACAUACACAUACAGACACGACGUAUCGUACAAACGCACAGCUCGGCUAGGCCAACAAACCUUCUAAGGAGGUGUGUAACGGGUUUUUUUAACGCUAAUCUCGCUCUCUCUGGUCUGUUAGCCCACACCCAACACACACACACAUACCCCUGGUUAGCUCCCGUGCGCUUGGCCGCGGGACCACUUGAAACAGCCUCAAAAUUACGACCGUAAACAUGACGAACAAGGUGCUGGCGGCGGUGCAGGACCUCCAGAAGCAGCAGCAGCAACAGCAGCAGCAACAACAGCAGCAGCAGCAGCAACAGCAGCAACAGCAGCAGCAGCAGCAGAAUGGCGCAAACGGUGGCGGUGGUGGUGGUGGUGGUGAAGCAGGCCAAACGGUGGCCGGCGGUGCGGCGGGCGGCGGUGGCCAAAGCUCGGACAACAACUCGCGCACCAACCUGAUCGUGAACUAUCUGCCACAGACAAUGACGGAGGAAGAGAUCCGGUCGCUGUUCUCGAGCGUCGGCGAGGUGGAAAGCGUGAAGCUGGUGCGCGACAAGAACGUCAUCUACCCGGGGCAGCCGAAGGGGCAGAGCCUCGGGUACGGCUUCGUCAACUACCACCGGCCGCAGGAUGCCGAGCAGGCGGUGAACGUGCUGAACGGGCUGCGGUUACAGAACAAGGUGCUGAAGGUGUCGUUCGCCCGGCCCAGCUCGGAGGGCAUCAAGGGUGCGAACCUGUACAUCUCCGGCCUGCCGAAGACGAUCACGCAGGAGGAGCUGGAGACGAUCUUCCGGCCGUACGGCGAGAUCAUCACGUCGCGCGUCCUCAUCCAGGACGGCAACGACAAGCCGAAGGGCGUCGGCUUCAUCCGGUUCGACCAGCGCAAGGAGGCGGAGCGGGCGAUCCAGGCGCUUAACGGUACCACGCCGAAGGGGCUGACCGAUCCGAUCACGGUCAAGUUCUCGAACACGCCGGGCCAGAAUGCGGCGGCCAAGGUGGUGCAGCCGGCCCUGCCCGCCUUCCUGAACCCGCAGCUGACGCGCCGGCUCGGCGCAAUUCACCAUCCGAUCAACAAAGGGCUGGCCCGGUUUUCGCCCAUGGGCGGGGAGGUGCUGGACAUGAUGCUGCCCGCCGCACCCGCCAACGGCUUGAACGUGGCCCCGUCCGGUGGCUGGAGCAUAUUCAUCUACAAUCUCGCACCGGAGACGGAGGAAAACACGCUGUGGCAGCUGUUCGGCCCGUUCGGUGCGGUGCAGAACGUGAAGGUCAUCAAGGAUGCGGCCACGAACCAGUGCAAGGGGUACGGGUUCGUGACGAUGACCAACUACGAGGAGGCGAUGCUGGCCAUCCGGUCCCUCAACGGCUACACGCUCGGUCAGCGCGUCCUGCAAGUCAGCUUCAAGACCAACAAGUCAAACGGCGGCCAUAUGGGUGAAAACUAAAACGGGGGGCACAGCCGUUGAAGAAACGAACACCCAGAAGCCAUAUACUCUCUCACAUCCCUCUUACCCUACAACAACAACAACUACAACUACUACUACUACGCACAGACACGGUACAGUACAAGAAGGUGUGCAGGCAAAGGAUGCUGCAGGGUGACCACAGAAUGAUGGAGAAGAAUGCAGCGCAAAGGAAGGAGCUAAAGCUAUGCAACAUUAAAGGAUGGCAAACUGUUGGGCGCAAAUAGCAGGCAAAAAAUCACUGAAACUGUAACAAAAAAAAAAACAAUCCAAAACCACACACUAUUAGCCGGACAGUAGAGAACGAUUGGUGAGUGCGCGGGUGGCGAAGGACUGGAGUGAAAACCCGUAAACUGCAGGUGUCCCAAGCAGCACCACCAGCAGCAGCAGCAGGUAAACCCCAUUAAACUAGCAUUUCGUCGAUAUGUUCGAAGCUGUACGCUCGAAGAAGAGAAGGGAAAAAUAGCAAACACUGAUAAAUCCCGCCACGCGUUUAAAAGCUUCAAACAGUACAGUCCUCUCACCCUCUAAUCAAAAUGCAAAAUGCAAGUGCGAGCACCGUUGCAAGUGUUUUGAAUUGGCGGUUAAGAAUCGGACCUACUUUCAUCAGGAUGGCAAUUAACAUCGGUGCAUCUGUACAAGGAAAGCAACACCUACACACAAGUGCUGCAGCGAGAGAGGGAGAGAGACAGAGAGGGUAGUGUGCAGGUAAACUUAAAUCUAGUCAAAAGUCCAGCAAUGGAAAGAAGCAACACGAAAGCGUCAGGUGACCUAACAUUGGAGACAAUUUAGAAGGAAUAACUAUCCCCCGGCAGAAAGAGAGAGGGAGAGAGAGAGAGCAAGUGGCAUGCAGAGAUGAAACAUGCAAGAUAUGUUUUUUGCCUAUAUUUUAUAAACUCUAGGUUUUUUUUUAUAUAUAAAAAUAUUAUUAGUAUACUGUACACAGGAAAACAUGUGCAUUUUUCUAAACGUUUGCUACCAAAAAAAAAAAACAAGAUGGGUAAAUGGUAAUGAUAAACGAAAAACAUACACACCAGCCGACCACUCGAGGACAGCAGCAUAUACCAGAAGGAGGUAGUACAUCACAAAUGAGCUGAUUUAUAUUGAUAUCGUUGCAAUAGUGGUGUAAGGAAUAAUUUGAAAAAAAAAACAAUCCUUCACCGGCACAUGCAAUAUAUACAUAUAUUAUUACCUUUCGUUUACUUAGGAAAAUGCUUUGAAAAACAAAGUGUGGACACACUGUUUGUUCGGCAGUGCAACCCCGUGCAACUCGAUUGUCGAAAUAGUCUAAUCAGUUUAGAACUAUGGCCCCGGUGGAUGAUAAAAGUAUAUGCAUAUAUGUAUAUCGCUAUAAACAGAUUGUAGGGGAGGGGAAAUGCUGGAAUUAGGAGAAUUUUAUUUAUUUGCUUAACUUAUUUAUUUGGGAUAACUUGUAGGAAAAGCAAGAGGCGCAUAGACAAAUGCAUCACGUGUGCGUGGUAGGGGGUUUUAGAGGAAUUAAAGGGCUUGUCACGACACAACAUCCACUAUUACACUUGCUGCUGCGUAAGGCGAAAGUACGAUCACUGGCGAUCGCGAACCCACAGCAGGGGGGGGGUUCACACGGAAAUGGAAAGAUUAAAUGUGCGGUGUGUCUGAUUUUAAUUCAUCCCCGGACGACAUCAAACCAGUAAAACGAGCCUAAGAAAAUGUCCCUUUGGCAAACAAAAAAAAAAAAAAGAGGAACAAUAUGGCAUACAAACACGAUUCAAAUCACAUAGCGGGAGAUAAGCAGUGUAUAACGGCAGCGUGUGCAGUAUAUACAGGGUUAUCCAGGAGUUCUUACAGGUGUGGGACACUUUAUUGACGCUUUCUUGCGUGAAAUGAACAUAAUCUAAUGGGAAUUGGAAUCUAUAGCCCCUUGUUGGACAAAUCCAAUAGGAAUUUCCAAGGAGCCUGUCCAAAACGGGUGCCAUAGAAUCCAAUUACAAUCACAUGUAGUUCACUUCCCGUAAGAAAGAGUCAAGGAAGUGUCCCACAACUAUGAGAACCCCCGGAAAAACCAUGUAAUGAUUACAGCUAGUUCGUUUUCUUUGAACGGCAUAUUAUGAAUGCAGCAGCACCACUGAUGAGCACAUUUACACGCUGACAGACAUGGGCAUGGGCGGCGUAUAUAUUACACACACUCUCUCUAUGAAGUUAGUAUGAGCAUAUUGCAUACCACAGCAAAUGGACACCACCACACCACACAUUUAACAGCUGAUCUCAAACAGACGCUAGUAUAAAAUGAUGUCAGCGUAAACGGUAGAGAAACUAAUGAAGGAGAGGGCUUGUAAUGCAUCGGCCAAAAAAAGGAGGCCGUUAUUAUAUAUGAAGCGCAGAACCCUUAAAUCCGAAGUAGUGCACGAGGCGCGCGCUAUGAGAUGAAAGCAGACAAGCAGAAAGCAAAGAAAAAA